UACGUAGGGUGCAAGCGUUGUCCGGAAUUAUUGGGCGUAAAGAGCUCGUAGGUGGUUUGUCGCGUUGUCCGUGAAAUUCCCUGGCUUAACUGGGGGCGUGCGGGCGAUACGGGCAGACUGGAGUACUGCAGGGGGAGACUGGAAUUCCUGGUGUAGCGGUGGAAUGCGCAGAUAUCAGGAGGAACACCGGUGGCGAAGGCGGGUCUCUGGGCAGUAAACUGACGCUGGAGGAGCGGAAA
rnacentral:rRNA from 1 species